rnacentral:rRNA from 1 species
AUUCCAGCUCCAAUAGCGUAUACUAAAGUUGUUGCAGUUAAAAAGCUCGUAGUUGAAUUUCUGGUCGUGGCGACCGGUCCGCCCCUCACGGGGUGUGCACCUGGUGUCUGCGUCCAUCCUCGGGGAGAGCGCGUCUGGCAUUCAGUUGUCGGGCGCGGGAUCCUCGUCAUUUACUGUGAGCAAAAUAGAGUGUUCAAAGCAGGCUUAGGCCGUUGAAUACAUUAGCAUGGAAUAAUAAGAUAGGACCUUGGUCUAUUUUGUUGGUUUGCAUUCCAAGGUAAUGAUUAAUAGGGAUAGUUGGGGGUAUUCGUAUUCAAUUGUCAGAGGUGAAAUUCUUGGAUUUAUGGAAGACGAACUACUGCGAAAGCAUUUACCAAGGAUGUUUUCAUUA